CCUACGUCGCAGGUCUAGGCUUCCGCUUCCGGGAAGUAACCGGAAACCCCAUCCCACAGAGAGCGGGACUAGAGCGGCUGCGCAACAACAGCACCAUAGAGCGGAGGCGGUUACGGGCUAGAGCGAUUCGUGCAGCCGGCAUAAAACCAUAGACGAGUUAGACUGAGACUAGAGCGGCGAUACCGCAGCGGGGCUAGAGCGACUCCUGCGGGCAGAGUUACCAUAGAGAGGAGACUCGUUCGCUAGAGCGACAGCUGCGGGUGGCAAAUACCAUCGCUCAGAGGCGCCGGAUGUGGCCUUCAGAGGCAUCCCCUACACACUGGCAGAGCACCUCCACCAGAUAAGAAAGCAUCCAAGAUGGAGCAAGGAAGAUAUGUUCCAGGAGAUGCUGCAAUAAUCAGAUGCAGAAAAGAGGGAACGCAGGCAGUGAAGGGAAAUGGAAAGGCUGGACAGAAAAGAAAAUGAGGCUUUCAUUAGGGAUGCAAUGGAGAGGAUGAUUAAAGUUAUGGAGAAGCAAACUGAGAUGCUUCGGUCCCUCAUAAUACUCCAGACUGAGCAGAUGGGUGCCUGCCCUUCCCUUCAGCACAUUCAGAACUCUUUCCUAUGCCCUCCCCAAACUCCACCCGCAAAUUCCUUUCCACAGUCUGGGACUUCUCGUUUUCCUGUUCACUCCAUCCCCACGGACACCUUUUCAAAUGAUAGCUGGACUCAGGGCCGGCUUUAGGAAGUGUGGGGCCCGAUUCGAACAGUUUCGACGGGGCCCCGACAGGGAUGACUUGACAAAAAAAACAAAAACAAAAACACAUAAAAAAACCACGUGGGGCUUGUACUCACCCGGCCGUGUUUCUAGUCUUUAGCGGCGGGUCCUUCACUCACUCCGGGUCUUCGGCGGCACUGAAGGACCCGCCGCCAAAGACCUGGAGCGCCUCCAGGUGAGUAAAAAUUAAAAAGGUGCCUCUAGCCAGGGAAGGGAUUCUCUGCCACUUGCCCCCCAAUCUGGGCAGCCCUGCCACUGGACGCGGGGCCCUCUUAGGCGCGGGGCCCGAUUCGGGGGAAUUGGUGGAAUUGGCCUAAAGCCGGCCCUGGCUGGACUAACACACAACUCUGAAAGUCAGCCCUCCCCGGUACCUCUUCCCCCUCCCCAAAGCGUGUGUGUGUGCUGGUGUAGUUUUUUGUGCAAUAAAAGCAAAAUUUUUUGAA